rnacentral:rRNA from 1 species
AUACGUAGGGGGCAAGCGUUGUCCGGAUUUACUGGGCGUAAAGGAUGCGUAGGCGGAUAACUAAGUCAGAUGUGAAAUUCCUAGGCUUAACCAAGGAACUGCAUUUGAAACUGGUUAUCUAGAGUGCGGGAGAGGGAAGUGGAAUUCCUAGUGUAGCGGUGAAAUGCGUAGAGAUUAGGAAGAACACCAGUGGCGAAGGCGACUUACUGAACUGUAACUGACGCUGAGACAUGAACACGUGAGGAUAAAACAGGAUUAGAUACCCUUGUAGUCCAAGCAGUAAACGAUGAAUACUAGGUGUAGGAGGUAUCGACUCCUUCUGUGCCGCAGUUAACACAAUAAGUAUUCCGCCUGGGGAGUACGGUCGCAAGAUUAA